rnacentral:lncRNA from 1 species
CUGAGGUUUCAGAUGGGGGCUCUAAGACUCAGAGAGAUGAAGAGACUUUCCCACAAAACUACUACGCGGCAGUUCCAGGAUUUGUAUCCGUUGUCGAACCCCAAAGUCCAGGUUCCUUUCACGAUCCAGGGCUCUGUCAACAGCGGUACCUUCAGCUCAGGCUUUCAUUGGGUCAUAAUGGGCUACUAUAGUUCUCCGAUGGGGGUUUUGAA